AAUUUGCCCACCUAAAAACAAUAAAUAAAUGAAAGGAGGGCAGGGACCGCGCCGGAGGGGGGGUUGCGAAGGGGGCCGCUCCAGAAACCCUUCGACCCACCACCACCACCCCGCGCGCCCGCCCGUCUUCCUACUGAGGAGUUUUCCUCUCUGCAGGGGAGAAAGGGAGUUCGGGUCCAGGUUCGCACAGCACCCGCCCCAACCGGCGGUCUCGCCCCCCGAGCUGCCUGCGGAGAAGGUAAAGGGGGUCCUCCUCCUGCAAUCGCCCCCUCCCUCAGGAACGGCCACCUCAGACUUAAGGGCCGCUGCCACCACCGCCUGUUUGCCGCGCGAGCCUCCCGUCUUUCCCUCACUGCACCCGCCCGGCCUCCCUGAGGCAGCUCCAGGCCCUCCCGCCCGGACGACGACGGAGAUGACGCUGGCGUCUCCGACUCACCUGCCCGACGCGGCUGACAAGCCUCCCCCAGGCCGAGUGAGAGCCGGCCGCGCAAAGCGGGCCCCUUUGCUCGGAGAGCGGCGUCGACCACGGCAGGCGGGCGGAGGCGGCACCACACCGGAAACGCCGACAGCAGGAACGGCGGCGGCGCAGCGGCGGCGGCAGGUCCUUAGACGCGCGCCGAGGGGGGAGGAGCUUGGUUCACCUCCAGCAGACCCCCACUGAGAGCAGUGAUGAUAGCCAGAGAACCAGCAAGGACCUGAAGGAGACCUCAGUGGAAGCAGCUCCCCCACCUCACCAGCCUACGGCGGCAGUUGCACAGUCACACUGGUGCUCAUACUAGAGGAACCCAUGGAGCUGCUCCUGCCAGAGAUGCCGGCUCAGCCUGUGCAAGGUCUGAUGGUGCCACCAUCCCCAGUAGCAGAGUCCUUUGAGGAUGCCCAUCCAGCCUGCCCUGUGAUUACGUGUCUGGAGUUCUCACAGGGCCCAAGAGGAGGAAGAUGGGCAGAGAACCAGAACAGGUGGAGGCCACACAACUUUCAUCCCAACAGAGAAGCUACUGUGACAGCAGGGACGCCUUCUGAACCCAAACAACACAGAGGAGAGCUCUUUCUGCUGCUGACAUUAGGACCCAGACCAUCACCUCUGGGCACUUCUUCCAGACCAAUGAGGCUUCAGAGGGAACCUGGAGAGGAAGAGACUUCUGCAGAAAUCUAGAGGACAAAAGUACAGCAAGGGGAACCCAGAAGCGAAAGGAGCCUGAAGUCUCUUGCAAGGGACCAUGAGAAGAGGAGAAAACACCAGUGCACCAGCCCAAGAGUCCUCAACUCCCAGCCAAUAAACACACAUCCUCAAAGUGUUUCCUGUUCUUUCCACAUGCAUCAUUUUGAACAAAUUGUCUUAACUCCUGUUUCUCUCUUUUCCCUCACUCUGCUUACCUGAGCUCUGAGCUGAGCUGCUGCCUUCUGAGAGUUCUGCAGCUGCUGCUCCAUCUCUUUCAGCACCUGCCUCUGCAUUCCAACUUGGUCCUGUAAGUACUGGUUCCGGGACUGGGCUUCACAAAGGGCCUGCUUGGUCUUUGACGACUCAACUUCCAUAGUUCUGAUGACAUACUGGAGGAAACGAAAGCAGGAAUACAUCUGCUGAAGUGAAGCACUCAGCAUCCCAACAGAAAGAUGUCACGGUUAAUCACAGGGGACUUCUACCUGACAAAGAUCUCUGACUGAAGUUCUGAAAACUGGAGGACUCUGCAUCAACCACAUCCUUCAAGGAGCUUCACUUUGAGAAAACUUAAGGAACAGAGCAUUUGCAAGCUAUUUUCUCUCACCUUAAUCUGCUGAGGCUGGGUUCUGAGGCUGGCGAUCAUCUCCUGACUGUCCCUCAGUCUCCGGCUGAGCCGCUCCUCCUCCUCUGCCUUCUCUGCUAGACAGUCCUUUAGCCGUAGCUCCACUUCUGCCAGGCGAUUGGUUUUCUGCUCCACUUCUAGGUCCAGUUCAGACAGGCGCCCUUUCACUUCUUCCGCUUCUUGCUUUAGCUGGGCCAGCUUUUCCUGCAACUUCACAUUCUCCUGAGCAGCAAGCAGGGAGGGAGAAAUACUGCACAUAAGGAACACUGCUGAGAUUGAACAGCCUGCAGGCCAGCCCCCCAGGAGGAAGAAGAAACAAUUCUUUACCUUGCUAUGCUCACAGUUCACACAUCUCACAGGCUGCUUCUUGAGCUCCUGCAGCUGUGCCUCACACAUCUUCAUCUCUUGCUUUAGACGCACAUUUUCUGCAACCAGCAGGUCUCGGUGCUUCUCCAGGUCUGUGCCACCCUGAGAAGAGUAUAGGAGGUAAUCAGGGGGUUAGAGGAACAUAGGCAUUGUGAGCAAUUUUGCUCCUUUAACUACCAAGUCAUCUACUGGACCCCAGAGAAAUCACACUAAGAGCUAGAAAAUUUUCCACUGAGAAAUAUAACAGUGGAAAGUUUUCAAUUUCAGAAAUGCUUCCAGCCAACCUGAGAUCAACUAAAACUCACAAGGAUAUCUAUAAUCGAAAACAUGCUAUUUAUUUAAGCAGAACAGGCAAAAUGUACAAGUUAUGGACUCAUCCUCUAAGGCAGCCUUUCCCAACCAGUGUGCCUCCAGAUGUUAUUGGACCACAAU